UCCUUUUUUUGUUUUUAUUACCGUCCAACAACACCUUGCACACAUUGACUGUCCCACACCAGAAUGACAGUACAAUAGGAAAAGACAUUAAUGUGCAGAUUCCUUGUGCAAUGUGUACAAUGUCUCAACUUAUGAAAGUAAUUCAGGAUGGUCAAUAGAGGGUGUAAUGUUAAAGAGCACCCAUGAUGGUGAAUCCUAUGGUGUGUGUGUGUAUGUGUCAGGCGCGUCGCACCCGUGGGGGAUGUGGGUGUUUUAACACCCACACUUUUCCUGGUGAGAGGGUUCAACACCCACACUUUUUCUGCAGUUUUUCCACAGUUUUGCACAAACGCCUUGCGUCGAACUGCCGCCGUAGCUACGUCGUAGGCUGUGUGUAGCGAUUAUAUUGCCUGAGUGAACAGAACUGCGUCCAUAGCAACGCUCUGUUUUUCAUGGCAACGGUGUGUUAUACUUCGCAGCGGUCUUAACAGACCGCAUUCUACACUGGAAUUCAACCAAUAGUCCAGUACUUUUAAGAAAUUAUCAAGAUGCAGAAAAGAAAGAGGCAGGAGAAUAUUGACACUUUUUUCAAGAGAAAUCCUGUAAGUGAAGUUGAAAGCUGAACGUUGAAAAUGUUUGACAUUAAACAACAGUAGCCUAUUUCCAUUAGAUAUUGUUUGCAUUUACUUCAUGAUAUUACUUUUCAAUAUUCACUGAGAUUUGCUAGUGCCACAGCUGUAACUGUUUGGCCCUAUUCCUUUACCACUGCCCAUUAUUACCACUUUAGGAGAGGAAGUUGCUGGAGGCAUCAGUUUCAGAGAGAGCACAGGAAGGUUCUUAAUAUAUUUUGUUUGUAUAUUUGUAGUUUGUAACAAAAAUAAUUUCCCCCUGGGAUUAUUAAAGUAUUUCUGAUACAUGUUGUACACCUCUGUCAUUGUAUCCAUCGUUUCUAUUGUUAAUAAACAAAUCACAUCCAUCCCC